rnacentral:lncRNA from 1 species
AUGAAGGUUAACUGAAGGGAAGAGUACCAACCUUUUCCAGACAAUGGUAGACAGUGGCGUCCUCCCUGUUGGACUGUGGUGUCCACAGCCCUGAAGGAGUAGAACUCCUGUACUGUCAUAGCCAUUUUGAAUCUCUGUUAUGUUGAUAUUUCUCAUGUGGAUGGGAAACAGUCGUAUACAGAGCAUUCACUGAGAGAGGAGUUGCGG